CACGUAGGGCGCAAGCGUUGUCCGGAAUUAUUGGGCGUAAAGAGCUCGUAGGCGGACUGUCACGUCUGCUGUGAAAACCUCGGGCUUAACUCGGGGCUUGCUUUCGAUACGGGCAGACUAGAGGUAUGCAGGGGAGAACGGAAUUCCUGGUGUAGCGGUGAAAUGCGCAGAUAUCAGGAGGAACACCGGUGGCGAAGGCGGUUCUCUGGGCAUGAUCUGACGCUGAGGAGCGAAAGUGUGGGGAGCGAACAGG
rnacentral:rRNA from 1 species